rnacentral:rRNA from 1 species
GUGGGGAAUAUUGGACAAUGGGCGAAAGCCUGAUCCAGCCAUGCCGCGUGUGUGAAGAAGGUCUUCGGAUUGUAAAGCACUUUAAGUUGGGAGGAAGGGCAGUAAGUUAAUACCUUGCUGUUUUGACGUUACCAACAGAAUAAGCACCGGCUAACUUCGUGCCAGCAGCCGCGGUAAUACGAAGGGUGCAAGCGUUAAUCGGAAUUACUGGGCGUAAAGCGCGCGUAGGUGGUUCAGCAAGUUGAAGGUGAAAUCCCCGGGCUCAACCUGGGAACUGCCUCCAAAACUACUGAGCUAGAGUACGGUAGAGGGUAGUGGAAUUUCCUGUGUAGCGGUGAAAUGCGUAGAUAUAGGAAGGAACACCAGUGGCGAAGGCGACUACCUGGACUGAUACUGACACUGAGGUGCGAAAGCGUGGGAGCAAACAGGAUUAGAAACCCUAGUAGUCC